GUAGUUAGCCGACGCUUAUUCCUGGCCUACUGUCCUGUCUCUUCAGCCAGAAAAGCCCUUUACAACCCGAAAGCCUUCAUCGGGCACGCGGCGUUGCUGCCUCAGACUUGCGUCCAUUGGGCAAUAUUCCUUA
rnacentral:rRNA from 1 species